GCUGGGUGUGGUGGCUUAUGCCUGUAAUCCCAGCACUUUGGGAGGCUGAGGUGGAAGGAUUGCUUGAGCCCAGGAAUUUGAAACCAGCCUGGGCAACAUAGCAAGAUCCCAUCUCAU
ensembl:misc_RNA Metazoa_SRP Metazoan signal recognition particle RNA